rnacentral:rRNA from 1 species
UACGAAGGGGGCUAGCGUUGCUCGGAAUCACUGGGCGUAAAGGGUGCGUAGGCGGGUCUUUUAAGUCAGGGGUGAAAUCCUGGAGCUCAACUCCAGAACUGCCUUUGAUACUGAAGAUCUUGAGUUCGGGAGAGGUGAGUGGAACUGCGAGUGUAGAGGUGAAAUUCGUAGAUAUUCGCAAGAACACCAGUGGCGAAGGCGGCUCACUGGCCCGAGUACUGACGCUGAGGCACGAAAGCGUGGGGAGCAAACAGG